rnacentral:rRNA from 1 species
UACGGGGGGGGUAAGCGUUGUUCGGAAUUACUGGGCGUAAAGGGCUCGUAGGCGGCCAACUAAGUCGGACGUGAAAUCCCUCAGCUUAACUGGGGAACUGCGUCCGAUACUGGAUGGCUUGGAUUCGGGAGAGGAAUGCGGAAUUCCAGGUGUAGCGGUGAAAUGCGUAGAUAUCUGGAGGAACACCGGUGGCGAAGGCGCUGCUCUGGGCCGGUACUGACGCUGAGGAGCGAAAGCGUGGGUAGCAAACAGG